AAAUUGCUGUUCGGCCAUUGCUCGUGAAAAAACAAAUUUGUUUACAAAACAUAUCAUAUCUUUUGAUGACAAAUUCAUUCGUCGGCAAAAUAGCUGCUCGCGCUUUACUGUAGAUAUCUACAAUCAGCGGUCGAAUUAAAAACAGUGCAGAAGGAUGUUUUGAGUAUGUUUUAGCUUCUAGCCGCGCAAUCAAUGCUUUUUUUCCAAGCAAGAUGUACUUCUGUUUGGAUCCUAUCGGCGGGGAAAAAAGUACUUACGGCGACGGUGACAAGAAAUAGCGCUGAUUGCGAGAUUACCAGAUCCAGAAGAUCCGGAAGGGCUGUUACAAGUAAUUGGUUUUGCUAGAACAAAAGGAGGUUGACAAUGAUUGCAACAGGUGAAAUAAACUGUUGGAAUCACGACUAUCGAUCACGCCAGAAGAUCCGGAAAAAGUUGUUGAAAGUAAUUGGCCACAGAAAAGUAUCCAUUUAUGAAGUCUAUCUCCAUCUCGGGGGAAAGUGUGGUAAACAAUGUCCGGGUUGUUUUUCGUUAUGCGGACCUUGUUUCCGCAUCCUUUUACUGCACAAUAAUACGGCAUCUGAAGAAAAUAAGAUAUUCACAAUAUAAUUUUGGCAUGAUAGAGAACCGCGAGAUGAACGAUUAUCUGUGGAGGAGUUGGACAACAGAUUUCUUAGACUUAUAGCACUUUAAUCACACUCACAAGCUCUUCAAAUCCUCACUGUCCCCCAAAACUAUUGAAUAAUAUGUAAUAUAAAUACCUUAUUGCAGCUCUAGUACACUAUUUUUCACGAAUAUAUAUUUGCUUAUUUCUUUCUUCAGUUGUUUUCCUCAGCGAGUUGAUAUGAAACCAUAACGACACAACCAAACAAAAAGUAAACAAUGCAGAAAGCUACGUCUCGCAACUCGUCUCACGUAUUGUCAUGAAAGUGUCAAGAACGAAACACCUAUAGUUUAGCAUCUUGGCUGAGACGAGACAUGACAAUAGGGGGCCGAUCACGGCUUACAGAGACAAGGCUAGCUACUCCGGAUUAGUCAUUUUUUAGUGACGUCAUCUGAGUCGUUGAAGUAAACAAUGUGUUCUUAUUUUUAAUUUUUCGUGCUUUGUAAGUUUGUGCGUUGAUAAUAUAGUUGAUUAUAUUUAACACCAUGAAUAAUUUGAUAAAACAUUUAUCCACAAAGAACAUAAUUCUCGGUUUUUCGGAAAGCGAAAGAAUCUCUUUUUUGGCCCGAUAAUGUCAUUUCCAUAAUUUAUAUACCCGCUCACAGCGCAUUGAACCAUUUUCGAUUUUUCAUUUCAGAAACAUUUACGCGUAAGUCGGAAAACAAAAUACAACUGGCGACUGUUUACACUGACGACUCGGAUGACGUCAUCAAAAAAAAAUGUUUACUCGCUAAAGAACUAGCCUUGUCUCUGUAAGCCGUGGGGGCCGAUUCCGGACCACUUCUUCUGUCAAACUCGGACCACUUGCAACUCGGCUUCUGAUUGGUUGAUGAGGAAAACAAUUGACAAAGAUAAAUAUACAAAAAUGAGAUUUCCAACAUUUUCACAGUGUUGCCAAAUAUAUUCAAAAUUAUUCUAUUAUAAAA